rnacentral:rRNA from 1 species
CCUGCCUUAUACCGGGGGAUAACAGUUAGAAAUGACUGCUAAUACCGCAUAAGCGCACGGUGUCGCAUGACACAGUGUGAAAAACUCCGGUGGUAUAAGAUGGACCCGCGUCUGAUUAGAUAGUUGGUGAGGUAACGGUCCACCAAGUCAACGAUCAGUAGCCGGCCUGAGAGGGUGAACGGCCACAUUGGGACUGAGACACGGCCCAAACUCCUACGGGAGGCAGCAGUGGGGAAUAUUGGACAAUGGGGGAAACCCUGAUCCAGCGACGCCGCGUGAGUGAAGAAGUAUUUCGGUAUGUAAAGCUCUAUCAGCAGGGAAGAAAAUGACGGUACCUGACUAAGAAGCCCCGGCUAACUACGUGCCAGCAGCCGCGGUAAUACGUAGGGGGCAAGCGUUAUCCGGAUUUACUGGGUGUAAAGGGAGCGUAAACGGUAUGGUAAGUCAGAUGUGAAAGGCUGGGGCUCAACCCCGGGACUGCAUUUGAAACUAUCAAACUAAAGUGUCGGAGAGGUAAGUGGAAUUCCUAGUGUAGCGGUGAAAUGCGUAAAUAUUAGGAGGAACACCAAUGGCGAAGGCGGCUUACUGGACGAUAACUGACGUUGAGGCUCGAAAGCGUGGGGAGCAAACAGGAUUAGAUACCCUGGUAGUCCCACGCCGUAACGAUGAAUACUA